rnacentral:rRNA from 1 species
UGCAGUCGAGCGGUAAGGCCUUUCGGGGUACACGAGCGGCGAACGGGUGAGUAACACGUGGGUGAUCUGCCCUGCACUUCGGGAUAAGCCUGGGAAACUGGGUCUAAUACCGGAUAUGACCUCAGGUUGCAUGACUUGGGGUGGAAAGAUUUAUCGGUGCAGGAUGGGCCCGCGGCCUAUCAGCUUGUUGGUGGGGUAAUGGCCUACCAAGGCGACGACGGGUAGCCGACCUGAGAGGGUGACCGGCCACACUGGGACUGAGACACGGCCCAGACUCCUACGGGAGGCAGCAGUGGGGAAUAUUGCACAAUGGGCGAAAGCCUGAUGCAGCGACGCCGCGUGAGGGAUGACGGCCUUCGGGUUGUAAACCUCUUUCAGCAGGGACGAAGCGCAAGUGACGGUACCUGCAGAAGAAGCACCGGCUAACUACGUGCCAGCAGCCGCGGUAAUACGUAGGGUGCAAGCGUUGUCCGGAAUUACUGGGCGUAAAGAGUUCGUAGGCGGUUUGUCGCGUCGUUUGUGAAAACCAGCAGCUCAACUGCUGGCUUGCAGGCGAUACGGGCAGACUUGAGUACUGCAGGGGAGACUGGAAUUCCUGGUGUAGCGGUGAAAUGCGCAGAUAUCAGGAGGAACACCGGUGGCGAAGGCGGGUCUCUGGGCAGUAACUGACGCUGAGGAACGAAAGCGUGGGUAGCGAACAGGAUUAGAUACCCUGGUAGUCCACGCCGUAAACGGUGGGCGCUAGGUGUGGGUUCCUUCCACGGAAUCCGUGCCGUAGCUAACGCAUUAAGCGCCCCGCCUGGGGAGUACGGCCGCAAGGCUAAAACUCAAAGGAAUUGACGGGGGCCCG